rnacentral:rRNA from 1 species
GACGUAGGAGGCGAGCGUUGUCCGGAUUCAUUGGGCGUAAAGAGCACGCAGGCGGUUUGGCAAGUCGGAUGUGAAAACCCGGAGCUCAACUCCGGACCUGCAUCCGAAACUGCCCGACUAGAGGUAGGUAGGGGAGAUCGGAAUUCCUGGUGUAGCGGUGAAAUGCGCAGGAUAAUCAGGAGGAACACCGGUGGCGAAGGCGGAUCUCUGGGCCUUAGCCUGACGCUCGAGGUGCGAA